GAUGAACGCUGGCGGCGUGCUUAACACAUGCAGGUCGAACGGGAAACCUUUUAUUGAAGCUUCGGCAGAUUUAGCUGGUUUCUAGUGGCGGACGGGUGAGUAACGCGUGGGUAACCUGCCUUAUACAGGGGGAUAACAACCAGAAAUGGUUGCUAAUACCGCAUAAGCGCACAGGACCGCAUGGUCCGGUGUGAAAAACUCCGGUGGUAUAAGAUGGACCCGCGUUGGAUUAGCUAGUUGGCAGGGUAACGGCCUACCAAGGCGACGAUCCAUAGCCGGCCUGAGAGGGUGAACGGCCACAUUGGGACUGAGACACGGCCCAGACUCCUACGGGAGGCAGCAGUGGGGAAUAUUGCACAAUGGGGGAAACCCUGAUGCAGCGACGCCGCGUGAAGGAAGAAGUAUCUCGGUAUGUAAACUUCUAUCAGCAGGGAAGAUAGUGACGGUACCUGACUAAGAAGCCCCGGCUAACUACGUG
rnacentral:rRNA from 1 species